UCACUGAAAUGUAUUUCAUCUGCUUAUUUUAUAUACAAGGAACCAAGGAAGACUGAACUCCUUUGAUGGUCAGACUCUUCCAGCCCCUACAAUCUUAACUUUGGGAAAUCAGAGUUCUCACAACAGUUCUGAGUUACUUAAAUGUGGAGAAUGCUGAAACAAACCUAACUUGUAUUUUUUUCCCCCCAGCCCUUUUUAUAUUUUAUUUAGAGACAAGAUCUUGCUGAGUUGCUUAGGGCCUCACUAAUUUGCUGAGGCUAGCCUUGAACUUGCUAUCCUCCUGCCUCAGCCUCCCGGAGUCAAUGGAUUACAGAUCUACCACCUUUGAUUAUCUAUUCAUGGAUUGGUGGACAUCUGGGUUGUUCCCACCUUAUCGGUACUGUGAAGAGUGCUGCAAUGAUUUGUAUGAUAUUCUAAGCUGCCGAGGCUGGCCUCCCAACUUGUGAUCCUCCUGCCUCAGUCUCCCGUGUCACUGGAAUUACAGGCCUACGCUACCACACCUGUGGCUUUCUUGAUAUAGAAAGCUAUACCUCCUACCAGAUCCAGCCCUGCAGCAGCAUAAGACACCCUGUCCCUUGAGUCAGGCAGCAGCUGCAGUUGCAUCUAUCCAUGGCAGUUUUACUCCUUGUCAGACUGAGGGGGGUCGCUUCCCUAACAAAGAUGGAACAAGGUAAGAUGAGAUUUUCAUUUUUUCAGAGAGAAUAUAAUUGUGCCCUAAAUGGGCUCCUUUUCUCUCUCUCUCUCUCUCUCUCUU